UGUAUGAAAUUUUAGUUUGUACUAACUUGGAUAGUGCUUUUUACGUAGCCUGUUGUAAAACUAGGCAAAUAUCUAGAUGAGUUGAUGUACCCCCUGUAAGACAUCUGCGUACUCCAGGAGUACACGUACCCCUGGUUGAGAACCACUUUUCUAAAGGGAUUGAGAGAAACUGGCUUACAGACACAAUAUUGGCGUCUGGAUCUGGACUGUCCCCCAAAGUUUGGGUGUAUUUGGAUCAGGCCAUAUUGUAUUUGUUGUUGAAGAUGUGUUUAGGAUCACAGAAGUGAGAGAUGAAAAGAUCUAUUUUUUUGAUCCAUUUGGGCAAUUUUCCCCCAAGAGAAGACAUAUUAGAUGUAAAUCAAACCACACUACAUCUUAUCCAAAAAGUCAAAAGGCACACUUCAACUUCCACAUCUCUUCAAAACCAAUUAGUAUGUGUAUAUACACAAUAGAAUCUAUGAUAUAUCACAUAAAAUCCUUUAUUUCACAAAUGGUAUACAUUUGAAAAAAUUAUAUAAAUGGAAUUUAUACUACACUUGUGUUCAUCACUAAGCUCUGACCAUAUCAGCGACAGCAUUGUUUUCUUAGUAAUUAAUGUAUUUCAGAGGAGAAAAAAGUGAAGAAACAAAGGUUAGCAAUAAUAAAUUGAGUGUUCCUAAAUCAUAUAUAGGUUAAUUUCCCACUUGACUGGGAAAACUUGCUUAACCUACUUAUGGAUUCUGUAUACAAGUAAUGAGACCAUCCCCAAACUGCAGAAGCAAACAUUUCAGAGCCAGAAGAUCAAAUCUUGCAGUGACUUAAAUGGUGGUGUAAGUUACACAUAGAGUAUAAAUGCUGUUGUCAUGUGUGUAGAGACUUGCCAUUCAGUGGAUAUGCAAAAUGAGCAAUUAUUAUUUAUUAGUUGAAUUACAGAGGUACUUACAGGACAGGGGCCCAUUGUGCUGAGUGCUGUACAAGCAUAAAAGACAAUCCUACCCCAAUGACCUUACAUAUCAAGAAAGGAUGGGAAUAAAGCAGCUGCACCCUCUCCUAGUUUUAUCUUAUAUCCUUGUGGCUACCCCCUUCUGACCUCUAUUGUGUUGUUUUGCACUCUCGAUGAUGCAAGACUGGUACCACUUAUACUUGUUUUUACUCAAUGUGUAACUUGCAUCUCCAUUUGUCACCAAUGAAUUUGGCCCACAUGCUUCCAUGGGAGUCACAUCUGCUUACUCUAGGCUGAAACUGAACACUACAACAGAGGAAAAACUACCUGUCUAUAAGACCAGUUCAAAAGGCAAGACAAAUGUGAAAGGCUCUCUUUGGGGAAUACAGUUUCUGAUUUUAGGGAAGGAAGGUUGGUUGGGGGUUGCAGGAGAGAAGUGGGAGUGAGAAGUACUGGUUUCUAAUGCUACCUGCUAUUUAUAUGACCAAAGGUAAGUUUGUGCCUGAUAAUACCUGAUAAAUUACUGAAAACAGAACAGUUGUGAGGAAAGUGCAUGUGUGGAUAGAUGCGAAUAUGCUUGGAAUUGAGGGGAAUAUAUUAUUACCAGAAUCUUUUUAAAUUAGAGAUAUUUACUGCUAGUAUUUUUUAGAUGAACUACAGAAACAGAGAACCUUCAGGAAUAUUUCUAGUGCAGUAUAGCACAAUCAGUGUUGCUGGCCAGCUUUAUGAAUGUGAUCCCCAAGAGUAGUUAAGGGCCUGCAGUUCCAAGCACCGUUUCACGCUUGCAUGGGCAAGACAUAUCAUGGAGAACAAAGAGGGAACUGCUUAGAUGAAAUAAGGAGAUAUAUGCUUCAGUAACUUUCUCUAUGCUGUACAUCUGUCCUGUUCACAAUCACAGACUCAGUCCCUUUGCCUCUUCUCACCACUUUUUCCCACUCCUUUAAGAAAAAGAAUGGGUCCUUGUAUCUUGUUAACUACAAAGUACAGAAGAAUUCAGUGGAAUAGUUUGAUUUCACACAGACCAGUGAGCCCAACCCAAGAAAACAAAGAACCCAGCUGCUCCUAUGAGUGGAUACCCACAGAACCCUUCCACGUGGUUUGUUAUACAAAAGAUAAUAUAAAACGGUUACCUACCUUUCGUAACUGUUUUUCGAGAUGUGUUGCUCACGGCCAUUCCAUUCUAGGUGUAUGUGCACCCACAUGCAGAGUUGUCAGAGAUUUUUGUCUUAGCGGUAUCCGUAGGGUUGGCUCCAGCACCCACUUGAGUGCCAUGCUCAUGCGUCUGUAUAUUAGGCACCACCAACGCUACGCCCUCUCAGUUCCUUCUUGCAGCAACUCCAACAGAGGGGUAGGAGGGCGGGUAAUAGAAUAGACAUGAGCAACACAGCUCGAAGAACAAGUUACAAAAGGUAGGUAAACCAUUUUUUCUUCUUUGAGUGCUUGCUCGAUGUCGAUUCCAUUCUAGGUGACUCACAAGCAGUGUCUUUGGGAGUGGGAUCAGAGUUCACAGUCUGGCGGCUUGUAGUACUGCCCUACUGAAGCCAGCAUUGUCCCAGGCCUGCUGGGUAAGAGCACAGUGGGACGUGAACGUAUGGACGGACGACCAAGUGGCCGCCUGCAGAUGUCAUGGAUAAGCACUUGGUCCAGAAAGGCUGCCAAAGAGGCCUGCGCCCUGGUUGAGUGGGCGGUUACAAUCGCUGGGGGUUGCACCUUUGCCUGAUCAUAGUAGUAGCAAAUGCAGGCGGUGAUCCAAGACAAAAUUCUUUGCGUGGACAGUUUAAUCCUGUUGGCCACCGCGACGAACAAUUGCAUCGACUUGUGGAAGGGCUUGGCUCCUUUUGAAGUAGAAGGUUAAUGCCCUCCUGACACCUAGGGAAUGCAGCCUAUACUCUUCCUCCGACUUAAGAUGCUUUGGAAAAAAGACAGGUAAGAAAAUGUCCUGGCUCAUAUGAAACUGAGAGACCACCUUGGGCAGGAAAGCCGGGUGUGGUCUCAGCUGGACUUUGUCCUUGUAUAGGGCAGUUCUGAGGUGAGUGCCCUAAUCUCUGAGAUUGGGGGGGACAAUUGUUACUGUGACCAGGAACGCAACCUUCCAGGACAGGAGAAGGAGGGAGCAGGAAGCCAAAGGCUCGAAGGUGGGGUCCCAUGAGCCACAACAGCAUCAGAUUCAGGUUCCACAGAGGAACAGGGUCUUUGACAUGUGGGUAGAGGUGCUCGAGGCCCUUGAGGAACCUGGCCAUCAUGUCCAGGGCGAAAAUUGACCUACCCUUGAGCAGCAGAUGGAAGGCCGAGACAGCCACCAAGUUGACCUUGAUAGAUGAAAGGGACAGGGCUUGGAGUUUGAGAUGCAGAAUGUAGUCCAGAAUUAAUUGCAGUGAGGCUCACUCAGGCCGAACGCCUUUAUCCGAGGUCCAGCAGGUGAACUGCUUCUUUUUGGCCAGAUAGGUCGCUCUAAUGGAGGGCUUUCUACUGCUCAAUAGGACCUGUUGGAUAUUGGCCGAGCACUGCUGCUCGUGCUCAUUCAACCAUGCAGAAGCCAAGCCGUCAGGUGCAGCGCCUUCAGGUUUGGAUGCAGAAGGCUGCCGUGAGUUUGGGACAGCAGGUCUGGCCAGAGCGGUAGCUGUAAUGGACCGGCCACCGAGAGGUUCAGCAGCAUGCUGAACCAGUGCUGGUGCGGCCAAGCCAGUGCUAUGAAGAUCACCAUUGCCCUGUCCUACUUGAUCUUCAUGAGGACCCUGGAGAGUAACAGCACUGGAGGGAUGGUGUACAUCAUAGCCCCUGACCACGGGAACAGAAAGGCGUCCGACAGGGAUCCUCUGUCCAUACCUCGCAUCGAACAGAAAAUGGGGCAUUUCCUGUUCUGCCUGGACGUGAACAGGUCCCUCUAGGGAGUUCCCCACUUGCAGAAGAUGAAGCUGACCAUGUCCAGAUGGAGGGACCACUCAUGGCAAGAUGAGACGGUCCUGCUAAGGCGAUCUGCCAAGGUGUUCUUGGCCCUAAGGAGGUGAGUGGCGACAAGAUGGAUAUCGUUCUGCAGACAGAAGUCCCAGAGCUGGAGGGCUUCCUGUCAAAGGGCAGAUGACCUGGCCCCACCCUGCCUAUUCAUAUAGAAGAUGGUCGCCAUGUUGUUCGUGAGGACCUGCACCAUCAUGUUCUGUAAAUGAGGUAGGAAGGCUUGGCAGGCCAGGCGAACCGCCAUGAGCUCCCUGACGUUGAUAUGCAGGGAACAAUCGUGACUGGACCAACGAUCUUGUGUUUCCCCACCCUAGGUCCGAUGCAUCAGAGACAAGAGUAGCCGACGGGGAUGGAGCCACGAAGGGGACUCCUUCCAGCACCAAUGUAGGAUCCUGCCACCAUAUGAGAGAUGACAGUACACAGUCUGGAACACUGACCACCUGGUCCAUGCUGUGCCGGUUGGGGACACAGACCGAUGCCUGUCGGGGCCUGACGUGGAGCAGCGUGUGCCAGACCACCCCCAGGUCACGACAGGUGGAACAAACCAGAUUGAGAUGCCUCCACACCUGAUCUCAGGACCAGCCCUUUAUCAACCAGUCGUCAAGGAACGCGAUCUGGGAGUUCCCCAGGUUCUAGAGUGCAGAGGAGGCAGAGGGUGGAAUGGCUUCCUGGCCUGCUGAGGGAUGUGAAGACCUGAAGAGCGGAAGGUGGCUUGGGAGUCUUUAAGGCCAAGGAGCCUCGAGUCUGUGAACUCGGAGAAGAGCCUGGCCCCAUCAAAUGGGAGGUCCUGAAUAGUGGCCUGCAUCUCUUGGGAUACCCUGGAGGACUGCAACCAUGAGCUGCGUCUCAUGGCCACUGCAGAUGUGAACACCCUGGCCGCCGAGAGAGUAGUGUCCCAGGCCAUUUGAAGGACUCCCCUGGCCACCACCGUGCCUUCGUCCAACAGAGUGGCGAACUCCUGGACACGAUCCUGUGGGAGGACCUCCUUGAACUUAUUCAACGAGUCCCACAGGUUUAAAUUAUAUCUGCCCAAAAGGGCCUGGUGAUUCGACAUCCUAAAUUGAAGGCUGGCCAUCAAAUAAACUUUUCUGCCAAAUAAAUCAAGUCUUUUGGCGUCCUUAUUUUUGGGGGUGCCACUAACAUGGCCCUGUCUGUCCCUUUCAUUCACCGCAGACACUACCAGUAAUGCCGCUGGGGGUGCUUAUACAGGUAUUAAAACCCUAAUGCAGGGACGUAAUAUUUAUUUUCUGCUUUCUUGGAAGUUGGUGGAAUAGAAGAGUGGGUUUGCCACAGUGACCUGGCAAUCUUGAGGAUCCCUGAGUGGAUAGGCAAUGUGACCCGGGCAGGG